rnacentral:tmRNA from 1 species
GGGCUUGUACUGGUUUCGACGGGGGUUUCGAAGUUGCGGAAGCCAUUCGCAGUUUCCCGGACUGCGUCAUCAACUGGGAACUUAAAUUUAAACGCAGACGAAAAUUUAGCGUUAGCUGCCUAAUUGCAGCUCGUCAGCCCUGAAGCACUCACACUUUGGGAUUCUGGCGUCGAUGAUGUGAGAAACCUUACCGGGUAAGCUUUGCCCCGGUAGAUGUACCAUGAAGCUACUGAAGUGAUAAGCCUGUCGGUGGGCGUAUCAUGGAGGGAAUGUCAAUACAGCGACUGUAAUGGGAGAUGCCGCAAUGGACAGACUUUCGGACGCGGGUUCGAUUCCCGCCAGGUCCAUCU